CGCGGGGUGGAGCAGCUUGGUAGCUCGUCGGGCUCAUAACNNAUAACCCGAAGGUCGUUGGUUCAAAUCCGGCCCCCGCAACCA
rnacentral:tRNA from 1 species